UGUCUGGAGCAACUAGAAAUGGCAGAAUAAUGGCACCUUUCCUUGAGAUGUAGACUGUCUUUGAACAUUAUAUUGGUCUCAGCUUGGGAACUGAAAAUCACUUGUAAUGAAUUCAAUUUCUUUAAUCUGUGAACUCAGAGUUAAUGCAGGGGCCUGGAUAUAAGACCACAGCCAUCUAAAUAAUCCUCCAGAAAUAAACCAAUGAAAUUGUUCACUAAUGCUUUCCCUGGCAGUGUUAAGUUGGCUGUAAAGGAAUGUACGGGUACAAUAAUUGUAUGUGGUAUUUUCAUCUUAUAAGACAUGGUUAUUCUGGGAACUUUCUGGAAUGACGUAAAGGAUAAGAAAUCAUUCAG